GCUGGGCGUGGUGGCGAGCGCCCAUAGUCCAGGCGACUCGGGAGGCUGAGGCAGGAGGAUUGCCAGAGCCCAGGAGUUCUGGGCCGCAGUGCGCUAUGCCGAUCGAUCGGUGUCCGCACUAAGUUCAGCAUCAAUAUGGUGACCUCCCGGGAAGCUCCAGGAGGCCAUCAUGUUGCCUAAGGUGGAAUGAACCAGUCAGGUUGGAAACAGAGCAGGUCAAAAUGCCCAUGCUGAUCCAUUGGAAGACAGUUAUCACAUAAGCUGACAUGAAACAAAUCAUCGUUGAGUUAAUUUGAAACACAUUUGUCUC
rnacentral:SRP_RNA from 1 species